GGUAAGUGUAAAUACCUGAAAACUACUUAAUCCCAUUUGAUCUCAAAAGCUAAGCGGGGUUAGCCUAGCUUAUUACUUACAUGGGAGUCCACCAAUGAAUACUAGGUGCUGUAAGGA
rnacentral:rRNA from 1 species